AGUCACUGUGUGGGCCUUGGUGGGCCUUCCUCCCUCCACCUCCGUGGGUUCCCCGCUGAUGACAGAAGAGCUUGGCUGGCCCCUGCAAGCUAACUGCCCCCAGGACCCUGUGCCCCAACCCUGACUGGAUGCCCCACUCCUCAGUAAUCCCCAGAGCUGGUGGGGAGCCAGGCACCGGGAGCCAAGCAUUAUGGAUUAUGCUCCAAACCAAGAAGGACAACUAACAACUCAGGACGCAGCUCCACUCUCACCGGUAUUGAUCCCCGCCCUGCGGUGGCAUUGAGACCAGUGAGGACCAGACUCGCUUGUGGAAGGAGACAGCAUUUCCUGCUUCCCAGACACUGAAGGUUUCCAUCGACGCAGAACGUCUCUGGACAGAAGGAGGACUCUGGGUCCACACCAAGCGACCACCGCGUCUGGCUCAGCUGCCCAGCCCCCGGCAGAAACUCCUCGGAAGUCUGCAAAACACGGCCGCGGCUUCUCUUGAACAUCAGCAGGGCGUUCCAGUCUGCGUCUUUACAUUUUUCUCAUUUCGGGGAGGGAUCUGAGGCCUCCUUCCACCACCAUCUCCGCGCACACAGCCCACGCCUUGUAAGUAACGUGCUCCGUCAGCUAAGACCCUCUGAAUACUUCUUCACCAUGCGCGUCGAUGGCUAGGGUUUGAGGAGUCAUUCCCCCCAACCCCCUGUGAACGGUAACAAGGGGCAAACAUAUUUUUCUUAUGAUAAAGUCGAUGGUAUGUCUCUGGGAAAUGUGGAGAUAAAGAAGGCCCAGCUCCUUUGUCUGAAGAAGGGAAAACUAACAGCCACUUCAGGUUCCAUGGCUUGAAUUCAUUAAGACAAUGAAUAUCCGCAAAGCCUUUCGAUCAGUGCCGGAGGAGAUCAGUGAGUGAGGCUUAGGCUUUCUUUAUCAGAAUAAAAGUUGUCACUCGUAUUCCUGUUACA
rnacentral:lncRNA from 1 species